rnacentral:rRNA from 1 species
GGGUCAGUAGGUUGGUCGUGCCACCGGUACGUACUGGUCUCACUGAUUCCCCCUUCCUGAAGAACCGUAAUGCCAUUAAUUUGGUGUUGCGGGGAAACAGGACUGUUACUUUGAAAAAAUUAGAGUGUUUAAAGCAAGCUAACGCUUGAAUACAUUAGCGUGGAAUAAUGAAAUAGGACGAUCGAUCCUAUUUUGUUGGUUUCUAGGAUUGACGUA